rnacentral:rRNA from 1 species
UACGAAGGGUGCAAACGUUGCUCGGAAUUAUUGGGCGUAAAGCGCACGUAGGCGGCUUAGCAAGUCGGAUGUGAAAUCCCUCGGCUCAACCAAGGAAGUGCAUCCGAAACUGCUGAGCUUGAGUACGAAAGAGGAUCGCAGAAUUCCCGGUGUAGAGGUGAAAUUCGUAGAUAUCGGGAGGAACACCAGUGGCGAAGGCGGCGAUCUGGGUCGAUACUGACGCUGAGGUGCGAAAGCGUGGGGAGCAAACAGG